rnacentral:lncRNA from 1 species
AGCUCCGAGUGAGGCAAGAUGGGGACAAAUGAGAACUAGAGCUCAGCUAUAAGAGUUGUGUGUGCCAGGAGGGAGAUGGACCAGAAAUGAACUGGCAUUUCCUGGGGAAUCCAAAGACUUACGAUGUAAAUAACUUGCAUGUAUUUCUUCAUGUAGUUUUCAUCCUAUCCAUUUGAUAUUUGAAUUCUUCUUUCACAAAUGAAAUUAAAGAAAUUGAAUGAUUCAUCGGUGGUCACGAAGGUAAUAACUGGGAAAACGGGCACUUCAACCUGAGAUUUGAUGGGUGCAAGAGCUGACAUGGCAGAAGCAGUUUGUUGUGUUGUCUCCAAUGACACAUGACAAUCUUCCUCCUUAAUUAGGAACAGGAUGUAUGCAUGAUUUAUAUCUGCAAGCUAUGACUCUCCAAGAGGUGAAGUCUCAGUUGUUAGUAUUUGAAAUAUCCUCUAUAAACCCUAAAGUUAGUACAAC